rnacentral:rRNA from 1 species
GAACGCUAGCGACAGGCUUAACACAUGCAAGUCGAGGGGCAGCGGGGGCGUAGCAAUAUGCCUGCCGGCGACCGGCGCACGGGUGAGUAACACGUAUGUAACCUGCCCUAUGCAGGGGGAUAACCCGGAGAAAUCCGGCCUAAUACCGCGUAACACCUUUGGGGAGCAUUCCCUUGGGGUUAAAGGAGAGAUCCGGCAUAGGAUGGACAUGCGUCGCAUUAGGUAGACGGCGGGGUAACGGCCCACCGUGCCGACGAUGCGUAGGGGUUCUAAGAGGAAGGCCCCCCACACUGGUACUGAGACACGGACCAGACUCCUACGGGAGGCAGCAGUGAGGAAUAUUGGUCAAUGGCCGAGAGGCUGAACCAGCCAAGUCGCGUGAGGGAAGAAUGUCCUAAGGAUUGUAAACCUCUUUUGUCGGGGAGCAAAAAGGCUCUGCGGAGUCGUAUUGAGAGUACCCGAAGAAAAAGCAUCGGCUAACUCCGUGCCAGCAGCCGCGGUAAUACGGAGGAUGCGAGCGUUAUCCGGAUUUAUUGGGUUUAAAGGGUGCGCAGGCGGCGUGUCAAGCAAGCGGUAAAAUAGCGGGGCUCAACCCCGUCGAGCCGUUUGAACUGGCGCGCUUGAGUUCAGGCGAGGUAGGCGGAAUUCGUGGUGUAGCGGUGAAAUGCAUAGAUAUCACGAAGAACUCCGAUUGCGAAGGCAGCUUACCAGUCUGCGACUGACGCUCAGGCACGAAAGUGUGGGUAUCGAACAGGAUUAGAUACCCUGGUAGUCCACACAGUAAACGAUGAGCGCUAGGUGUCCGGGUCGAAUGAGGCUUGGGUGCCCGAGCGAAAGCGUAAGCGCUCCACCUGGGGAGUACGCCGGCAACGGUGAAACUCAAAGGAAUUGACGGGGGCCCGCACAAGCGGAGGAACAUGUGGUUUAAUUCGAUGAUACGCGAGGAACCUUACCCGGGCUCAAACGACUCAGGAAUAUAUUGGAAACGAUGUAGCCAGCAAUGGUCUGAGUCGAGGUGCUGCAUGGUUGUCGUCAGCUCGUGCCGUGAGGUGUCGGCUUAAGUGCCAUAACGAGCGCAACCCCUACCGCCAGUUGCCAACGGGUAAAGCCGGGAACUCUGGCGGGACUGCCGGCGCAAGCUGCGAGGAAGGCGGGGAUGACGUCAAAUCAGCACGGCCCUUACGUCCGGGGCGACACACGUGUUACAAUGGCAGGUACAGCGGGAAGCCACCUGGUGACAGGGAGCGGAACCCGAAAGCCUGUCUCAGUUCGGAUUGGAGUCUGCAACUCGACUCCAUGAAGCUGGAUUCGCUAGUAAUCGCGCAUCAGCCAUGGCGCGGUGAAUACGUUCCCGGGCC